rnacentral:rRNA from 1 species
GAUGAACGCUGGCGGCGUGCCUAAUACAUGCAAGUCGAGCGAACAGACGAGGAGCUUGCUCCUCUGACGUUAGCGGCGGACGGGUGAGUAACACGUGGAUAACCUACCUAUAAGACUGGGAUAACUUCGGGAAACCGGAGCUAAUACCGGAUAAUAUAUUGAACCGCAUGGUUCAAUAGUGAAAGACGGUUUUGCUGUCACUUAUAGAUGGAUCCGCGCCGCAUUAGCUAGUUGGUAAGGUAACGGCUUACCAAGGCAACGAUGCGUAGCCGACCUGAGGGGGUGAUCGGCCACACUGGAACUGAGACACGGUCCAGACUCCUACGGGAGGCAGCAGUAGGGAAUCUUCCGCAAGGGGCGAAAGCCUGACGGAGCAACGCCGCGUGAGUGAUGAAGGUCUUCGGAUCGUAAAACUCUGUUAUUAGGGAAGAACAAAUGUGUAAGUAACUAUGCACGUCGUGACGGUACCUAAUCAGAAAGCCACGGCUAACUACG